rfam:Schistosoma rodhaini strain Burundi genome assembly, scaffold: SROB_scaffold0006378
AUCCAGCUGACGAGUCCCAAAUAGGACGAAACGCGUGUCCUGGGU